rnacentral:rRNA from 1 species
GACGAACGCUGGCGGCGUGCCUAACACAUGCAAGUCGAACGGAGAUACGAUUUCGGUUGUAUCUUAGUGGCGAACGGGUGAGUAACGCGUGAGCAACCUGACCUUCAGAGGGGGAUAACAUUUGGAAACAGAUGCUAAUACCGCAUAAGACCACGACCCGACAUCGGGAUGAGGUCAAAGGAGCAAUCCGCUGAAGGAGGGGCUCGCGUCCCAUUAGAUAGAUGGCGGGGUAACGGCCCACCAUGUCGACGAUGGGUAGCCGAGCUGAGAGGCUGCUCGGCCACACUGGAACUGAGACACGGUCCAGACUCCUACGGGAGGCAGCAGUGGGGAAUAUUGGGCAAUGGGCGCAAGCCUGACCCAGCAACGCCGCGUGAGGGAAGAAGGCUUUCGGGUUGUAAACCUCUGUCCUUGGUGACGAAACAAAUGACGGUAGCCGAGGAGGAAGCCCCGGCUAACUACGUGCCAGCCGCCGCAGAAA